rnacentral:lncRNA from 1 species
AUGCUCGCGGCCAGGCCCUGCUGAUCCUCUGGCGCUGACCACAGGGGAGGAGGCAGCUCUCGUCGGUGCGCAGGCGUUUCCAGAGGCAGCAGGGGGGAAGCGUUGUUGUCAAACAGAUUCAGGGAAUUUCAAAGUCCAGCUCAACUAACCCCUGGCACCAUCCAGCUACUUCCACUUAAACGUUUAACAUGCAAAUGUAGAGAGCCCAAAAUUCCGUGAGUGAGUGACAGGGCACAGGUAUUCCUGAUUUAUUAAAACUGAUGGAAGCGCCCCCCCCCCCCCCCACUGGGCAGGUUAGCAAGAGGACUUCUCCAAGGAGCACCUAGUAGGAUGUGGGGGGGACCAUCCGAAAGGGCUGUUCAGAUACUCUUAACCAGAAAGUUCUGUUUCCCCGUUUCUCCAGGUUGGACAUCCUCCCCAUGAAGAGAGAACCGCAGCAAGGGAGAGGAAGAGGAUGGUUCUCUGGGUUCCCAUGAAGUAGGAGCAUUUCCACUUUUUCUCCAGGUUCUCUGCAGAAGGCAGUGAGACACUCCAGAGAAUGUUUGUGGAAAGGGCGAAUGAGCACGGAAGCAGCUGGAGGGAGAGGACAGAGGGAAACCAAAAAGCCACUAGAGCAGGAAUUGUCCUAAACAACUUGUUCCUAGGACAUACCAAAGAGGGGAUGGAAAACAAGUUCUGAAAGUCCACAUGUCUGCAUUUGGGCAAAACAAUGGAAGAUUUUGAAUUUUCACUCUGUUAUGCAUUCUCAGCAUCAGAUGGCAGGAUGGAGAAACGGAGCAUGGGGCGAUGGGAGAGUUUCUUAGCCUCAGCACUAUGACAUUUUGAGCUGGAUAAUUCUCUGUCGUGGUGCAAAUCUGUGCGUUGUCAGACGUUUAGUGGCAUCCCUGGCCUCUACCCACUUGAUGUCAGUAGCCACUCUUUCUCAGUGGUGACAUGGGGGUAAGCUGACCCCUGGGAGUAGUUUGAGGAUCACAGGUCUCUACUAAAGUCACAGAUUUGGUUAUGGGGAAACCAAAAGCAAAAACAUUUUCCAGCUUUCAACUAGCGCAAGCAAACAUUGCCUUGGGAGUCAAAAGGAAUUAUUUAGAAGCUACCAGCAUUUCUCCUACGGCUUAUGGUCCCUGAGUUCCCCUAGCACCCUCUUUGAGAGGUCUAGGUACAGCUCUUGUCCACAAUACAUUCUGUUGAUGGGAUCAUAAAUGAGUACCAGGAUUUAGUUAGCAAUGCUGGAAUUUACUCUCUGCGUUUGGAUGGCUUUUUAAAGGGACCCAGCAUCUCCAAUCAUUUAUAUCCUGGGGCCAAUCACCCGUUUUUAGGACUCAUAAAGGCAUCACAGCGGGGCUUCUAUCAGUGCAACGAGGAGCCACGACAUGCUUGAAGGGUGUAAGUUUGUGUGCCGCAGGCCACGGGCUUCUGCCCUAAUGAGCUGUAAGGCCCACUGCUCACAGUGUCGCCUGCAGCCGUGAGUAGUGAAGCUCGGUCAUUCUUGUAGGAAUUAGGCUUUCCCUGUGGUAAAAAAAACUGUGUCAAAAGGGAUCUUAGGUCAGGAACAAGGGACUCGAUAUUCACAUCAGAGUUUGAACUGGCUUUGCUCAUGAGCUCUGCUCCAGCCUUGAUUAUGUUAGACACUCACUAUUGGCUGCAUGGCUUUCUUUUUGAAGACCUGAAUAAAUGAAAGAUACCAAUGGUAACUUAUAUGUAUUUUCUGCGUCAACGAUCUAAAGAGAGAAUGUUUUAGCUUUAGGAUUAACCAUCCUGCGUCCAAAUGCUAGGUGUCCUCCUUCCUCCCCCCGUGUAGCAUUAGAUUUGCUAGUUAGCCUCUCUGUGCCUCGGUUUCCCAAACUUUAGACUAGGGGUGAGUAGUUCCAUAAGUCUGUUGUGAAGCUUGAGUGUGUUCUACACAUAACACACCGAGUUCCCAGCCCGUUAACACUCGUUAUUGUUUCUCUCAGAGGUUUCUAUUUUUGAUCUCAGCAGUCCUCACAAAUGUCCCCAUGAGAGAGGCCUAGAAGGUAUGUGUAAGCAGCCUACAGUGACGAGCCAAUAGCGACAAAGUGGUUCUAACCCACGUCUUCCAUUAUUCAGAGACAGAUCCAGUUAGCAUCUCAGUCAGAAAGACAAGGGGGAGGAGCCCUGACCUAGGAAUCUCACCACAUAUUAUUGAUCUGUUAGUCACAAUAAAUAAAGUCCUGUAUAAAAUAUGAGGACAAAGUGAAAUCUCAUUGGUAAUAUUGGAAGGCUAGAUGUAUAGGCAGAUAAUGCCACUCAGAAGCAAGUAGUACAUGAGUCAAUCAAAAAGUUGACAUUUUGGGGCAGCCCGGGUAGCUCAGUGGUUUGGUGCCGCCUUCAGCCCAGGGCGUGAUCCUGGAGGCCCCGGGAUAGAGCCCCACGUCGGGCUCCUUGCAUGGAGCCUGCUUCUCCCUCUGCCUGUGUCUCUGCCUCUCUUUCUCUCUCUCUCGCUCUGUCUCAUGAAUAAAUAAAUAAAAUAUAUAUAUUUUUAAAGUUGACAUUUUAAAAUAGAAACGGGUUUGAUUCGGUUGGACGUUUACUGCGGUCCUGUUCUGGCAGGCAUCGAUGCCAUGUGACGAGGUACCUGGCCUCCAGAAACCAAGACUUUAACAGAGGAUGUUAAACAUGCGUGCAGAACUCAGAGGCAGAAUGAGGCAAGUUUGUGGUCCAGGGACAAGGUCU